AUUGAACGCUGGCGGCAGGCCUAACACAUGCAAGUCGAGCGGAUGAAGGGAGCUUGCUCCUGGAUUCAGCGGCGGACGGGUGAGUAAUGCCUAGGAAUCUGCCUGGUAGUGGGGGAUAACGUCCGGAAACGGGCGCUAAUACCGCAUACGUCCUGAGGGAGAAAGUUGGGGAUCUUCGGACCUCACGCUAUCAGAUGAGCCUAGGUCGGAUUAGCUAGUUGGUGGGGUAAAGGCCUACCAAGGCGACGAUCCGUAACUGGUCUGAGAGGAUGAUCAGUCACACUGGAACUGAGACACGGUCCAGACUCCUACGGGAGGCAGCAGUGGGGAAUAUUGGACAAUGGGCGAAAGCCUGAUACAGCCAUGCCGAGUGUGUGAAGAAGGUCUUCGGAUUGUAAAGCACUUUAAGUUGGGAGGAAGGGCAGUAAGUUAAUACCUUGCUGUUUUGACGUUACCAACAGAAUAAGCACCGGCUAACUUCGUG
rnacentral:rRNA from 1 species